CUGCAGAAUUUGGUAAUGUUGGCCUAUCACAGUAAAUACUCUCUUAAACAUGUUUUUCUUAUUUCCAGUCAUCUUGGCAGCUUGGAAGAAAGGAGUCGUUGCUGCAUUGGUCCUGAUAACCAUUGCAGGAGCGGGAGCACUUGCCUUAUGGUGGUUUUUGCGUAAGAAGAAAAAGGCUAAAGGACCAUCCAUGGAGAUGUCUGGUUCAGCCUUGGCUGCAAACUUGACAAGUGAAAAACUGGCAAGACAGCCCAAUGAUGGAGACUAUUAUUCAGAUUCUAUGGAAAACAGGCAUUCUAGAAUAUCAGGGCAUCCUGAUGCUACUUAGAACAGUCAUCUCAAAGAUCAGCUGGGAGAAGAAAACAAGCCAAGAUGGAAGAUGUUGCAAAUGUUUCAAAGGCUCUGCAGCAGUUAUUUAUGAGUUUGCCAGACUCUUCUUUUCAAAGUUUAUUUCCUUAGCGGGAACAAUAGAGAUGUUCCUAAAGCAUUUAAUGGAAAAAAUUGAGAAUAAAAAUUCUCAUAGGAAAGUGGCUCUAGAAACCACUGACCCAGGUUCUCAUUUUUAUUUUCUCCUGCUAAUGCAAUUUUGCCUUUUUUUUUGCCUCCAAUUCAUCAUUCUCUGAGGAAACAAAAGGGGAAGUUAGAGCUGAGGAAGCACAUUUCUACAGUGCAGUGACUACUGGGAUGCCAGUAGGACAUAGAAAUAUCUAAGCUUGCUUUGAACUUGCUACCUUGGUUAUCAGUGACACUUCUGUGGCAGAGCAGAGCUCAGCACAGCUUGGCCAGCCAUGGAUGUACUUUCUGAUCCUGCAGCUUGUGCUGAACUCCCUGUGCUGCAGCAGCUGGACUGCUACCAGGCUUGGAGCCAGCUCACUUAUAGCCCUGGGGAUGCUUCACUGCAGGGAGGGCCUGACAGAAGAGAGAACUCUGGGUGCUCGAAAAACUUAAAUAACUGUUGGGAGAUUCAGACUUUACCAAGUGCUUCUGUCAGGAGGGGCACAAAUAGUCUUUAUUCUUUGCUAAACUGCUUUUCCCCUUUAAAAGGUCUGGUGCUUGUUGGUUAGUUUGGUGUGAUGGUUCUUCAAGAAAUGAUUGUCCAUCACAGUUGUUUUGGAUGAUUCUAUGAUAGGUCUUCAGGGAGUGGAUAUACUGCACCCAGGUCAGUGAGUUUAUACCUGAAAAUCCUGUUAUGUAUAAUCCUUAUUCCUUUGAUUUUAGGAGCGAUCUGAAGUCAUACUUGUGCCCAGUUUCUCCAGUAUGGAACUCCAUACCUAACCUUUUUCUGUAUAGCAUGAUAAACCACUAACAUGGAUCCAGUCUGGACCUGGAUCUAAUCUCUGCAGCCCAUGUUUAUCUCAGCUGCAUUAGUUUAAAAAAAGAACAUAAAACAAACCAGAAAAAAUGCUGUCCCUAGCCCCGUAACCAGCUGGCCUUUGGCACUGCAAUUGCUCUCCUUUUCUUACUGCAGAUUAAAUUACUACAAGAUCUGGGCCACAGGUAAGAAAGUUCUCAUUUUCAUUAGAAAAUAGUGAAAGAGAGGCCGUGGAUUGUGUAUACAUACAUAGUUACUGCUAUAAGCAUUGCAUCAAGGGUGCAAAACAACCACAAAACACAAAAGGGUUU
rnacentral:lncRNA from 1 species